AACUGAUGAAUCACAGUCGAAUGUUCUCCUCAUGUUUGAUUGAUUAAUCGCAACAAUAAAACAGGCUUUAUACUGUCUCGAAAUAAGAACUCAUUAAGAAUACCGACUUAAAAACAAAAAAGCGGUAAUUGCGUUUUUUUUUUUUUUUUUUUUUUUUUUUUCUAAUCUCCUUUCCGUCAAUUGUAAAAUUGGGUAGGAAAAGCAUCCGAUUCAUUGUCGUCCUCUAGUAAUAAUACCGAUUCAAAGUUCCAUCGACGGAAACACGCGCGGUCUUAUCACACAAAUCUUUAGUCACGAUUCAUAGGGUAUCAAGGUAGGACGCGCUCGGAUCGUAAAUGGCUCGUAAAGCGCCUAACUUCAGGCAAACGGCGCCGAGUGUCGUGUGCGCAUCCCGCACGCGGAUCGCGUAUAGGCCUCGCGAUUUCGCAUCCUAUAUUUAACGUGAUACUUUCGACUUCGGGUCUGCCGUGACGACGACGACGCGGCCACCGCCUGGCCGCCACUCUUGGCUCGUGCCUACGUCUCGUUCGUUCGUCCGCGCGCGUCCUUCGACUCGCUUCACGUCGCUCGGUCCGCUCGCUCGGUUGCUUCUGCUCGCGGACGCGACGCGCGGGAGUGUAGGAGUGUGUACGGUGUGCGCGGUGUCCCGGUGUUUCACGGGGAAAUGUCAGUGACGUGAACGUGCACGCGGCAGCGUUGACGCGUGUCUCCCUGUAUCAUCUUCUCUCGAGCAAGAAUGUGCGCCAGACAUCGACGCACGUCUCUGCACGACUUCUUCCAUUGGUGAUUGUAGUGGUUUCCCAUAGUGGAAACCAAAAAUUUCAUCUUACGCUACGAUUAUUCUAAGGCCUCGUGAAUGUCGCGGCCAUCCAGCGGAAGCACCAUAGAGCACUGAAAAGACUACAUAACUAUUGUAUCAUAUCAGCCGAGCAUUACCUUAAUCUUGGUAGGAGUCGAACGACGGACUUAGCGAUGUACAGUCCGUGCAGAGAGCCGUGUCGGUACGAUGAAUGUCGGCUCUGUUAACGCAAUAUCCACUCCUUCGGAGAUCACUCCGCGAUUGGGUCGCUCUUCGAAUCACGACUGCGACACA